GGUGCUGCAUGGCUGUCGUCAGCUCCGUGUCGUGAGAUGUUGGGUUAAGUCCCGUACGAGCGCAACCCUUGUCCUUAGUUACCAGCACGUUAUGGUGGGCACUCUAAGGAGACUGCCGGUGACAACCGGAGGAAGGUGGGGAUGACGUCAAGUCAUCAUGGCCCUUACGGCCUGGGCUACACACGUGCUACAAUGGUCGGUACAAAGGGUUGCCAAGCCGCGAGGUGGAGCUAAUCCCAUAAAACCGAUCGUAGUCCGGAUCGCAGUCUGCAACUCGACUGCGUGAAGUCGGAAUCGCUAGUAAUCGUGAAUCAGAAUGUCACGGUGAAUACGUUCCCGGGCCUU
rnacentral:rRNA from 1 species